AAUCAACGCUGGCGGCGUGCCUAACACAUGCAAGUCGAACGAGAAAGUGGAGCAAUCCAUGAGUAAAGUGGCGCACGGGUGAGUAACACGUGACUAACCUACCCUUGAGUGGGGGAUAACCUAGGGAAACCUGGGCUAAUACCGCAUAAUACCUACGGGUCAAAGGAGCAAUUCGCUUUAGGAGGGGGUCGCGGCAGAUUAGUUAGUUGGCGGGGUAAUGGCCCACCAAGACGAUGANCUGUAUCCGGCCUGAGAGGGCGCACGGACACACUGGAACUGAAACACGGUCCAGACUCCUACGGGAGGCAGCAGUGGGGAAUUUUGCGCAAUGGGGGAAACCCUGACGCAGCAACGCCGCGUGGAGGAUGAAGACCCUUGGGUCGUAAACUCCUUUCGAUCGGGACGAUAAUGACGGUACCGGAAGAAGAAGCCCCGGCUAACUUCGU
rnacentral:rRNA from 1 species